AUUGAACGCUGGCGGCAGGCCUAACACAUGCAAGUCGAACGGUAACAGGAAACAGCUUGCUGCUUCGCUGACGAGUGGCGGACGGGUGAGUAAUGUCUGGGAAACUGCCUGAUGGAGGGGGAUAACUACUGGAAACGGUAGCAAAUACCGCAUAACGUCGCAAGACCAAAGAGGGGGACCCUCGGGCCUCUUGCCAUCGGAUGUGCCCAGAUGGGAUUAGCUUGUUGGUGGGGUAACGGCUCACCAAGGCGACGAUCCCUAGCUGGUCUGAGGGGAUGACCAGCCACACUGGAACUGAGACACGGUCCAGACUCCUACGGGAGGCAGCAGUGGGGAAUAUUGCACAAUGGGCGCAAGCCUGAUGCAGCCAUGCCGGGUGUAUGAAGAAGGCCUUCGGGUUGUAAAGUACUUUCAGCGGGGAGGAAGGGAGUAAAGUUAAUACCUUUGCUCAUUGACGUUACCCGCAGAAGAAGCACCGGCUAACUCCGUGCCAGCCGCCGCAGUAAAAC
rnacentral:rRNA from 1 species